CAUGCUCCGGGUGCUCGUCCCAGCCCUGGGGAUGGCUAUUGUCCUAAGAGACGCCAGAGCUCAGACCGUGACCCAGCCCGACGCCCAGGUCGCUGUGUCUGAAGGAGCCGCCCUGGAGCUGAGGUGCAACUACUCCUAUGGGGCAUCUGUUUAUCUCUUCUGGUACGUCCAGUACCCGGGCCAAGGCCCCCAGCUCCUCCUGAAGUACCUGUCAGGGGACGCCCGGGUUCCCGGCAUCAGAGGCUUUGAGGCUGAGUUUAAGAAGAGCGAUUCUUCCUUCCACCUGAGGAAAGCCUCAGUGCAGGGGAGCGACGCGGCCCGGUACUUGUGCGCUGCUGCGAGUGCCACAGCGCCUGGGCCUGCAGGGGGAGCCGGACACAAACCUCCGGAGGUGCUGGGGAGAAGAAACGCCUCCGAAAGACUUUGCAAAAGCAAAGAACCUGGAGCUCUUCCAGCAGAGGCGCCCGGGGACUGGGGACUUGCCGGCCCGCGUGGGGCUGACGCACUCUUAGUGGUUGGAUGGGGGAGGUGCCCAGGAGAGUUCUGAUCUGCACUCAGCAUUUUACUUUUCAGUAACUCGAACAGAGGGCGAGCCUCCUCUUGUAGGCUUUUCUUGUACACUUUAUGUUUUCCCAAUUUGGAAAUUGUAAGCUAGUUUUCCUGGCUCCACUCUGUUACUGGUUAAUUUCUCUUCGUUUUAAGUGCUCCAUUUAGGAGAGAGGAAGGAGGUUGAUUUCGAUGUUGAACAGCUUAGCACAAUGGCAUAUGCAUGUAGGUUUUAGUAACUUUUUAGGAAUAUCGGAGAAACAAGAGUGAGUAAUCCAAAUUGCAAAUAGUUUUAGAGCUCUACUUAAGAGAGAGAAGAUGCGAAA